rnacentral:rRNA from 1 species
UUUGAUACUGGUAGUNUUGAAUAUUUGUGAAGUUUUUGGAAUGUGUAGUGUAGCGGUGAAAUGCUUAGAUAUUACACAGAACNCCGAUUGCGAAGGCAGGAGACUANCAAAUGAUUGACGCUGAGAGACGAGAGCGUGGGGAGCGAACAGGUUUAGAUACCCUGGUAGUCCACGCUGUAAACGAUGGAUACUAGCUGUUUGGCGUAAGCUGAGUGGCUAAGCGAAAGUGAUAAGUAUCCCACCUGGGGAGUACGCACGCAAGUGUGAAACUCAAAGGAAUUGACGGGGGCCCGCACAAGCGGUGGAGCAUGUGGUUUAAUUCGAUGAUACGCGAGGAACCUUACCAAGGUUUAAAUGGGAACUGACGUACUUAGAGAUAGGUAUUUCUUCGGACAGUUUCCAAGGUGCUGCAUGGUUGUCGUCAGCUCGUGCCGUGAGGUGUCAGGUUAAGUCCUAUAACGAGCGCAACCCCUAUUGUUAGUUACCAGCACGUGAUGGUGGGGACUCUAGCAAGACUGCCGGUGUAAACCGUGAGGAAGGUGGGGAUGACGUCAAAUCAUCACGGCCCUUACAUCUUGGGCUACACACGUGCUACAAUGGUCGUUACAGAGAGCAGCCACUGCGCGAGCAGGAGCGAAUCUAUAAAGACGGUCACAGUUCGGAUCGGAGUCUG